rnacentral:ncRNA from 2 species
AAGGGGAAUCAGGUGUGAAUCCUGAGCGAUGUGGUCACUGUAAUUAGGAUCAAAGUCCUAUAAGCCAGAAUACCU